rnacentral:rRNA from 1 species
UACGUAGGGGGCAAGCGUUGUCCGGAUUUAUUGGGCGUAAAGAGCGUGUAGGCGGCCAGACAGGUCUGCUGUGAAAACUCGAGGCUCAACCUCGAGAUGUCGAUGGAAACCGUCUGGCUAGAGUCCGGAAGAGGAGUGUGGAAUUCCUGGUGUAGCGGUGAAAUGCGCAGAUAUCAGGAAGAACACCUAUGGCGAAGGCAGCACUCUGGGACGGUACUGACGCUGAGACGCGAAAGCGUGGGGAGCGAACAGG